GUUUCUGUAGUGUAGUGGUUAUCACGUUUGCCUAACAUGCAAAAGGGCCUCAGCCCAAAACCGGGCAGAAACA
rnacentral:tRNA from 1 species